rnacentral:rRNA from 1 species
UACGUAGGGGGCAAGCGUUGUCCGGAAUCAUUGGGCGUAAAGAGCGUGUAGGCGGCUCGGUAAGUCCGCUGUAAAAGUCCAGGGCUCAACCCUGGAAAGCCGGUGGAAACUGUCGAGCUAGAGUCCGGAAGAGGCGAGUGGAAUUCCUGGUGUAGCGGUGAAAUGCGCAGAUAUCAGGAGGAACACCAAUGGCGAAGGCAGCUCGCUGGGACGGCACUGACGCUGAGACGCGAAAGCGUGGGGAGCAAACAGG